rnacentral:tRNA from 1 species
GCAGGUAUAGCGCAGCGGUAGAGCACGUGCUCAGCAUGCAUGAGGUCUUGGGUUCAAUCCCCAGUCCCUCCA